GACGAACGCUGGCGGCGUGCCUAAUACAUGCAAGUUGAGCGCUGAAGGUUGGUACUUGUACCAACUGGAUGAGCAGCGAACGGGUGAGUAACGCGUGGGGAAUCUGCCUUUGAGCGGGGGACAACAUUUGGAAACGAAUGCUAAUACCGCAUAAAAACUUUAAACACAAGUUUUAAGUUUGAAAGAUGCAAUUGCAUCACUCAAAGAUGAUCCCGCGUUGUAUUAGCUAGUUGGUGAGGUAAAGGCUCACCAAGGCGAUGAUACAUAGCCGACCUGAGAGGGUGAACCGCCACAAUGGGACUGAGACAAGGCCCAAACUCCUACGGGAGGCAGCAGUAGGGAAUCUUCGGACAUGGACGAAAGUCUGACCGAGCAACGCCGCGUGAGUGAAAAAGGUUUUCGGAUCGUAAAACUCUGUUGGUAGAGAAGAACGUUGGUGAGAGUGGAAAGCUCAUCUAGUGACGGUAACUACCCAGAAAGGGACGGCUAACUACGUG
rnacentral:rRNA from 1 species